rnacentral:misc_RNA from 1 species
GAUGAAGAACGUAGCGAAAUGCGAUAAGUAAUAUGAAUUGCAGAAUUCAGUGAAUCAUCGAAUCUUUGAACGCACAUUGCGCCCGCCAGCAUUCUGGCGGGCAUGCCUGUUCGAGCGUCAUUUCAACCCUCGCAGCCCAUCUGGGCAGCGGUGUUGGGGACCGGCACCACCGGCGAAGCCCUUAGGGGCCCAGCCGGCGCCGCCCCCGAAAUACAGUGGCGGUCUCGCUGCAGCCUCCCUUGCGUAGUAGCACACCUCGCACCGGAGCGCAGCGCGGCCACGCCGUAAAACCCCCGACUUUCUGAGUUUGACCUCGAAUCAGGUAGGAAUACCCGCUGAACUUAAGCAUAUCAAUAAGCGGAGGA